UACGUAGGGUGCAAGCGUUGUCCGGAAUUACUGGGCGUAAAGCGCGUGUAGGCGGUUGUUCAAGUCAGGUGUGAAAGCCUUGAGCUCAACUCAAGAAAUGCACUUGAUACUGGAUGACUAGAGGACCGGAGAGGAUAGUGGAAUUCCCAGUGUAGUGGUGAAAUACGUAGAGAUUGGGAAGAACACCAGUGGCGAAGGCGGCUAUCUGGACGGUUUCUGACGCUAAGACGCGAAAGCGUGGGGAGCAAACAGG
rnacentral:rRNA from 1 species